CCUACGGGAGGCAGCAGUGAGGAAUAUUGCGCAAUGGCCGAAAGGCUGACGCAGCGACGUCGCGUGAAGGAUGAAGUUCGUUAGAAUGUAAACUUCUUUUGUAGGGGAUGAAUGUGCCGGUUUCCGGCAUUGACCGUACCCUGCGAAUAAGGAUCGGCUAACUACGUGCCAGCAGCCGCGGUAAUACGUAGGAUCCGAGCGUUGUCCGGAUUUACUGGGUGUAAAGGGCGUGUAGGUGGGUCUUUAAGUCGGUGGUGAAAGCCCGCAGCUCAACUGCGGAAUUGCCAUUGAUACUGAAGGUCUUGAGUACGGCAGAGGGAAAUGGAAUUCAUGGUGUAGCGGUGAAAUGUGUAGAUAUCAUGAAGAACACCGGUAGCGAAGGCGGUUUCCUGGUCCGUAACUGACACUGAGGCGCGAAAGCGUGGGGAGCAAACAGGAUUAGAUACCCUGGUAGUCCACGCCUUAAACGAUGAAUACUAGGUGCUGGGCCGUAAGGUUCAGUGCCAAAGCUAACGCAUUAAGUAUUCCACCUGGGGAGUACGAUCGCAAGGUUGAAACUCAAAGGAAUUGACGG
rnacentral:rRNA from 1 species